CUCACCGCGCAAACGCCCUGGCAUAACGGAGGAAGGUACCAGGAUAGUCAGUCUGCCCAAGUUUAUGUAGGGAUGACCGAGUACCAAAAGAUGCAAAGUGGGGGAAUCCAUUGAGUGGUAGAAUGUGCGUUGCUGAAAUUUGCAUGAAUGUGUGUGUGAGUGCGUCAUGCAUGCAGCAUUUCGUGUUCACAGAGAUAUUUAGGCUUAGAUCAUUGAAAUUUUUAAAGAAAAUACAAAGAACAAUAGUCUUAGACUGAAAACAGAGAUUUAAAAUGCCAUGAAUUCAGAAGUCAGGCUUCCUUUUAUCUAUGAAGAUAAUGUAAAGGAGAAAAGCAUUUUUUUCCUAUUCUCCCCACUUCCCCUACAAUACCUUGGUAAUAUCCAGAGAAGAAAUGAAGAAACUGAUCUGUAGCUGACGUCAAAGCAAACCUGCAAGCAUUUUUAGAACUUCUGCGACCUAACCGGUCCUCUCUAGUUUAACCAACAGACCCAGCCCAGCCCAUGGCAGGCAGAGAGAAAAGGCGAAGACGUGAUCAUUGCGUCUUUAGAAAUCCUGCUGUUUACCUCGGGAGGCUUACCCCAUCACCUGAUACUCUGUGCUAAAGCUCUUAGCUUCUUGUCGCAAGUGAACAGGCUCUGGGGAACAGACCAUGCACUCUUUCUCAGAUCUUCCACCGCAUCAAGAACUUACAUUCCCUGCAAAGAUGAUCCACUCUGCUGUGCACACAGCUUACUGCCUUGGGAGAUUUAUGCAGAAAAAUAAAAUCCCCCUCCUCAUGACUAAGAGAUCAACAGUCUUUAGUAGCGGAGAGAAAGGGAUGUUAGACUGUGUAAAGACUCAAGUGCGGAUACCCCCACCUCAAGAAGCAACUCCACGGAUUGUACGGACAUGAGGAACUGCAGUGAAAACGAAUAGAUGAAAAUUACAUUAAAAAGGAAUAUUCUGGCCAUCAACCAUGUGGAUUCCAGUUCCCGUGUUUGACUCUGCAUCUAGGCAGCCUCAGGAUGACUAAGCCAUAGUGCAAGCAGUGACAGCAGCGGGCCGGCUCUGCAGACACACCCGCAUCUCAUAGCAGCAGGUGAAUCCAAGUCCUGGCUCUCUUUCAUUCCCUGUUCCUGCUGAUGUGGAGCUGAGGAAGCAAGGAAAAGGACUACCUGUGUGGGAGACCUUGGCUGCGUCUCCGGCUCCAACUAGGGCACUGCAAGUAUUUGGAGAGUGAGUUAGUAACGGGAGAUACUCCACUCACCAAUAUCAAUUACAAAAUCAAAAAUAUUAAAUUGAUAUAAAAGAGCUUUUUGUCAAUCAUUGACUUGAACUCCACAUUUAGGAAAGGCAAAGAUAAAAGGAAAGCAAACAGAGAAAAGGGGAGUGUGGGGGAUGCGUUUGCCCAGGGGAUGGGAGCUGCUAAGCAAGCCGUACAGUUCUUAUGGGGUCAAGCAAGGGCUGCCCAAGAUUACGUUCAGAAAUAACUCUUCUGAAUACUUGCUUCAACCUGAAAAUAAGAGGAAGUAACGCUCAUGAAAUAGCUAACAGAGACUUCACAGUGAGUGCAGCAGGAAGUGAGGCAAGACUUAAACGCCAACUGCAUGCACCGACUUAACGGCCGUCAGCCUGCGAGGAGUGACAGCCCCUCUGACGUUCUCCAGCCAGUGUCCUAGGCAUUCUCUGUAACGCAGUCUCCAAAAUUAACACAGAAAACUAAUCUGUAUUUUAUAAGCUUUUUAAAUAAAGAAGUAAGGAAUUUGA